CCUGCCUGGGGCCGUCGCCAGGCUGUGCCACUUCUCCCUGUUUCAGAGGACAGAGGAGCAGCUGGCUGCGGGUGACUAACUUUCACUAGGUUCAGUGGAGAUGGAGCCGCUGCCUUAGGCAGGGCUGGAGGACAAAGGCUCUGGCCAGAAGCUUGGGGAAUACAGAGACCCCGGGGCAGGGAAGGUUGGCCUGGAGGGAGAGAAUUGGGGGCGGGGGCACUUCCUGCUUUUCCCGGAGAAGCGGGCUGGGGCAGGGCCAGGUCGCAGGGCUCAGUCUUUGAGGACAGGGAGCCACCAGGUCAGAUGCGCUGAGGGGGGAUGGGGCGUGGGGGAUGGCGCGUAGGUCUUGGGGCUCCUGAGAACCAGUCAUGAAGAGGGACUUUGCAGAGAUGUUUCCAAGCCGGACGACACCGAGAUGCUAGGGGUAGGAUGGAGAAGGGCCGCAGAGAACAUUAAUUUCUAUACUAAACAGGGGAAGCCGAUCCGGGAAACCAGGGUGGUCGACCCUCUGUUCUGCGGACAACCCCUCGGCCAAGCCCGGCUCCUGACAGCAGCCAAGACAGCAGGACCCUGGGCCACCUCCGACCUCCGACCAGCUUCUAGUGGCUCUUGGAGCUCCCCAGGCUCUCAUCAAGUCGGCGGGACUAAGGUGAGAAGUCUUCAGUUUCCUGGACAGCAGCAGCCUUUGUGACUUAGUCUCCUAUUUUGUUUAAUCUCCCCAGAGUGGUCACCACUUUUUGAUACAGAUUCAAUUUUUGGAGUCCUCAGCAAAGAAAACUCCUGAACAGAGGCAAGAUUCCCUCACUUCCUUCUCAAGAAAAGACUCAAGAAUGACGGGAAUUCAUUUCCCCCUAGGAACCCACACUGAGGAAAGAAGACUCGAUGCAAAAAAAAAAAAGAUCGCUUCAUCCAUUAUCUGUGUAAAAAAAUUACUUUCCAUUUUCUGAGACUCUCUUCAAAUAGAUUUCUUUCUUCACCCCUUAAAUGCUCAUUCUCACUAAGCAAGCUGUGUAGGUGGAGACCUGUGUGUAGUGGCUGGAUGGGGCAGAAAAUGUUCUCGAUGAUAAGCAGCUCCUGUCUGGGAUGUCAUCUCACACUGUCCUCAUGGCUUAGGCCCAUGUGUCAUGCAAGAGAG
rnacentral:lncRNA from 1 species